AUUAUCCAUAUCCGAGACACAUAGCCUGUCAUGGCACCGUAGCACACCAUCAUUGCUGCCGAGUGAAAAUGCUGAAAUGUUGUUGCUUAGAGCUGCCUCCUUCAAUUGUGCCAUUGCUGGAUCAAUAAACUAUUUUUCUUUAACCUCUGCCACGAGCGACGAUUCUGCUGUAUUAUGCACCAUGAGUUCCUCCUCAUAUGGGGCGGAGAUACAAACCACAAGGCUAGCCAACUGGUGUACCUCCCGAGCUCGGAGCCUCUAUUCCGCCCUCAAGUGAGCCAAGAUACCCAUGGAUUUCCGACUGAGGGCGUCGGCCACCACGUUCAUCUCUGGAUAGUACAAGAUGUCCAUAUCAUAAUCCUUAAGCAAUUCCAACCACCGCC
rnacentral:lncRNA from 1 species